GGCUAAACAGAGUACCAUAUUUGUACACACUGAUGAUUCAUCUGUCAAAAUUAUGCAAAGUUCCUAAUGAUCAGUGUGCUGGCCACAAUGACAGACAUAGAUGAAUUCAGUACUGAGGAGUGUAGGGGUGUGUGCAGGACUCUCCUAGUCCUUGCCUUGGCAAAGGGCAGUGGGACAGGUAUGGGUGUGGGGUGUGGUAAGUACCUCCCUCUAGUGACUAUUACUAUUAGCAGCAAAACCAUGACCAAAGCUCAAUGUGCACCUCCUGACCUGAUUUGGCUGGAUCUGUCCCUGACGAGAGACAGAUGAAUUAUAACAAACUAUAUUUUCUUUGCCUGACG
rnacentral:lncRNA from 1 species